UUUAUUCCAAAAUAAAUACAAAAUUGCACAUCAUGUAAACCCGUCAGAUUUAUAGUAAUAAUAAUGACGAUAAUCUAAUAAUCUGUGUUGAACUCUGAAACAUUUCUUUUAGGAACGAAGAGGAAAGUUAGUGAAACUGAUUCAAAGGCAGAGGAUAUGAAAUCUGAAGCUGGUAAGAGCAGUGCUGCAAGUGAUUCUUUAGAUGUAGAGCAAGAGGCUGAAGGCAAAAAUGAUGGAAAGUUGACAGCGAAAGGUCAGCUCUGUGAAACAUGUUAACACUUCCUCCAGUAACAAGAGAGCAGUGUGAAAACUCACCGUUUUAUUUCUUCUUUAUAGACGAACCGGGGAAAUUGCCUCAAAAGGUAGCAGUUAUUAAAUAUGUCAGUUAGGUUAAUGAAAUAUUUCACAUCAAAACGUUAAGUUUUUUCCACACUUCCAUCAUGACAAACUGAGCAUUUACACACAGUUUCUCUUCCAGGACAGGAAAGCCAGCCAUGGAGAAUAUCCAUUGGCGAACUAAAGGCCAGUGGUAACCCUGGAAAGAAAGCAAUUGGUGGCAAAAUCGUGCAGAAAUCUGGUCUGCGUACAUAUCAAACCAAAAACAAGGAGAAAAAGUUUUUCUUUAACCUGGGGGUGGCCGAUGAAACAGGCAGCAUUAAAGUGAUGGUGUAUGGAAGAGAGCGCUAUCAGGACAUCCAGGAGAAGAGCUGCUACCUGUUCAGAGAGGUCAUCAUGGAGGGAAAUGACAUUAAAGUGACCAAAUUAAGCAUCGUAUCGAAGACAUCACAGAUUGAUGUUCCUGAGAAUCUGGAGAUGGAAGCUCGGAUGCUCGUUGAUUCCCAGACUCCAGUUUGCUCCAUCGAACAGGCCCACAGAUCAGCGGAGAAGACAUUAAUCGGCUCCGUUGAAAACAUCAAACUGAAGAAAGGACGAGGAAAGAAAGACAAACAAGAUUUUAAACUUGAAGACGACACCGGUUCAAUCAGGAUCACCUUGUGGGGUGAAGACAUCAAGCAUCUCAGAGAAGUAUCAUGUGGAGACGUUGCCAGGGUGACCAACGUAAAGACCAGUCGCUUCCAGGAUUCAGUAUCGCUGAACUCAACAGAUUCCACCAAAAUUUCAAAGGUUCAGAGUGCUGCAGUCCAGAGCGUCACCAUCAAGAUUAUCGGGAUCAUAAAAGCCAGCGGGACGCAGACUGAGCUGGAGGCGGAGCUCGGCCAUAACAACGAGAUGCAACCGUUUGUGGUGGCUUCAUACCUGCUGGCAGGAGCGUUGGGUGUCAGCCUGGGGGGCAGCUUUGAGGACAGGCUGCUGGAUAAAAUGCCGUUCUCAGCAGAUGUAGAAAUCAAAGGAAACCAGAUCAUCAAAAUUAAAUCCAUCAGAUAGAAGUAAAGAUGGCGUCCACUCUUCAGGCUGGGCUGUAGCCACAUGAUUCAUCUAUUUUUACUAAAGUUGUUUUUUUAAACUGAACAUUUUUAAUAUGAUUCCUUAAAUCUGUCAUUUAACGUAGAGGACAUUUCUGUUAUAUGAUGUCAGUUAUUCUCUCCUUCUGUGUUUCUUGCAAAUGAGUUUUUUCUGUUUUUAUUCUGAUUUGAGCAGAAUAUUCAUAAUCAUCAUCAGUCCUGGAAGCUCAGGGAUUCCCGUGACUACACCACCUGGUGCUGGGAACGUAUCCAUUGGAAUAAAAAGUCAAAUCUGGAACUUAAGAAUAAAAAUAAUAAUCCAUCCCUGAAAAAAAAG
ensembl:lncRNA